rnacentral:rRNA from 1 species
AUUGAACGCUGUCGGCAGGCCUAACACAUGCAAGUCGAGCGAGCGGCGGACGGGUGAGUAAUGUCUGGGAAACUGCCUGAUGGAGGGGGAUAACUACUGGAAACGGUAGCUAAUACCGCAUACCAUCAGAUGUGCCCAUAUGGGAUUAGCUGUUAGGUGGGGUAACGGCUAACCUAGGCGACGAUCCCUAUCUGGUCUGGGAGGAUGACCAGCAACACUGGAACGGAGCCACGGUCCAGAAGCCUACGGGAGGCAGCAGUGGGGAAUAUUGCACAAUGGGCGCAAGCCUGAUGCAGCCAUGCCGCGUGUGUGAAGAAGGCCUUCGGGUUGUAAAGCACUUUCAGCGGGGAGGCGUUACCCGCAGAAGAAGCACCGGCUAACUCCGUGCCAGCCGCCGCGGUAAUUC